rnacentral:tRNA from 1 species
GGGGCUGUGGCGCAGCUGGUAGCGCAUUUGCAUGGCAUGCAAAGGGUCAGGGGUUCGAGUCCCCUCAGCUCCACCC